UACGUAGGCAGCGAGCGUUGUUCGGAGUUACUGGGCGUAAAGGGUGUGUAGGCGGUUGUUUAAGUUUGGUGUGAAAUCUCCCGGCUCAACUGGGAGGGUGCGCCGAAUACUGAAUGACUAGAGUGCGGGAGAGGUGAGUGGAAUUCCUGGUGUAGCGGUGAAAUGCGUAGAUAUCAGGAGGAACACCUGUGGUGUAGACAGCUUACUGGACCAUUUCUGACGCUGAGACACGAAAGCGUGGGUAGCAAACAGG
rnacentral:rRNA from 1 species